rnacentral:rRNA from 1 species
UGGGGAAUAUUGGACAAUGGGCGCAAGCCUGAUCCAGCCAUGCCGCGUGAGUGAUGAAGGCCCUAGGGUUGUAAAGCUCUUUCACCGGUGAAGAUAAUGACGGUAACCGGAGAAGAAGCCCCGGCUAACUUCGUGCCAGCAGCCGCGGUAAUACGAAGGGGGCUAGCGUUGUUCGGAUUUACUGGGCGUAAAACGCACGUAGGCGGACUAUUAAGUCAGGGGUGAAAUCCCGGGGCUCAACCCCGGAACUGCCUUUGAUACUGGUAGUCUUGAGUUCGAGAGAGGUGAGUGGAAUUCCGAGUGUAGAGGUGAAAUUCGUAGAUAUUCGGAGGAACACCAGUGGCGAAGGCGGCUCACUGGCUCGAUACUGACGCUGAGGUGCGAAAGCGUGGGGAGCAAACAGG